rnacentral:rRNA from 1 species
CGGGAUAACACCUGGAAACAGAUGCUAAUACCGGAUAAUAACAGAUGAUGCCUAUCAACUGUUUAAAAGAUGGUUCUGCUAUCACUCUUGGAUGGACCUGCGGUGCAUUAGCUAGUUGGUAGGGUAACGGCCUACCAAGGCGAUGAUGCAUAGCCGAGUUGAGAGACUGAUCGGCCACAUUGGGACUGAGACACGGCCCAAACUCCUACGGGAGGCAGCAGCC